GGCCCAUGUUAAGAAGACCCCAUCACCUUGCAAAUCGUGCUAUUCCUUGGUGGGCUUCGUAUGUUUUGUUCCUUUUCGCGAGGAUUUUAAUUUAACUUAUCGCCUUUUGUUUUUCACUCCCGGUGGUCGUAGACUUGGUUGGUAGGCUUGGAGCUCAAGUGUGUCGGUCAUGUUUUGUUUAUAGACCCCCUCCCACCCUGUAGUAGGACUUGGUUCGACUUGAUGCACAUAUUAUUCAUAGCGACCGGUGCUGGUACUGAGUGCUAGUGGUUUUUACUGAUGGAUCUUCAUAUGCUGGAACGGAGUGUAGAAAAAGGCGGAAAUGCGUGCGUUGCAUCUGCUGCUGCCUUUCUCGGAGCCAAAACUAACCCGGACGUGACUGGAAAAAAGAACUAGUGCUGAUGACGGUGAUGAUGAUGGGAUGGAUCGGACAUGCUUUGCCCCCGUCAAUUAUCGAUGCCACCACGGCGGUUAAUGGCGGAGGCGGUACCGUAGUCGGAUCCGACGCGUGCCCGCCUGUCCACGGACCGUGUCGCUCACAUGUGGUGGCCUAGCUGAUUGGAGAACGGUGGUGUUUUUUUNNNNNNNNNNNNNNNNNNNNNNNNNNNNNNNNNNNNNNNNNNNNNNNNNNNNNNNNNNNNNNNNNNNNNNNNNNNNNNNNNNNNNNNNNNNNNNNNNNNNNNNNNNNNNNNNNNNNNNNNNNNNNNNNNNNNNNNNNNNNNNNNNNNNNNNNNNNNNNNNNNNNNNNNNNNNNNNNNNNNNNNNNNNNNNNNNNNNNNNNNNNNNNGAUGGUUUAAUGGCCUUCCCUUUAUUUGCAUUGUUUCUUUCAUGCCACCAAAGCCAAAGUAAUAAACAUGUUUUUAACUUGAUCUCCUCCCUCAAAUUAAUAAUUUCUUCGAUGAAGUUUAAAGCAUUAACACAGGGGAUUAGCUGCAGCCUAACAUGCUCGAGUUGAGCCAUUCUCCAUAUUUCUCUUACUUUCUUGCAUUUGAUGAAACAGUGCCCCCCAUCCUCAUCCAAUCUAUAACAAAUAGGGCAACGAGUGUCAACUUCCAUACCUCUGUUUUGUAGCUUUGUUCGCAAUGGUAAGCUAUUGGUUGCUAGCCUCCAUAAAAAAUGGAGCACUUUGUUUGGGAGGGGCAUUGUCCAUAGUUUAAGCCAGUCAAAUCCACCAUCUUCUUCAGCUGCACUUGAGGUAGAUGUUAGACCUGAGAGAGAUUCUCGAGCUGCACAAUCUAUUGCUACUUUGUAUGCAGAUUUUACUGAAAAUAUACCUUUUUUAUCAUAGUGCCAUGCCGUGAAGUCCUCGAGAUGAUCUUGGAUUGGGAUCUGAAGGAUACACUUUGUAUCUUCCGGGGUAAAAGUUUGCCUCACUAGUUCUUCGUCCCAUUUGUUGGUGAUUGGGUUAAUUAGCUCACUGACUUUAGUUAUCAAAUUAUUUCCCCUAUGGGAGACGACCUUUCUGGUGUUACCUCUCGGAAUCCAUGGGUCACUCCAUAUGUCAAUAUCCUUGCCAUUCCCAACUCUCCAUAUGAUUCCUUUUCUCAGUAGCUCAACACCCUUUAGUAUGCUGCGCCAUGCAUAAGAAAUGCCACUACUUGGUCUCGCCCGCAGAAUUGAACAUCCUGGGUAGUAUCUACUUGAAAGAACCUGGGCACAAAGAGAGGAGGGGUUUUGGAGCAGCCUCCAUGCUUGUCUUGCCAGCAUUGCCAGAUUGAACGCAUGUAGAUCCCUAAAUCCCAAGCCUCCAUUUCUUUUUGAUCUAGUAAGCCUCUCCCAGCUGACCCAAUGCACUUUAUUUUCCUUAUCCAUUUGGCUCCACCAAUACCUAUUAAUCAUGGUGCUCAGUUCUUCACAUAGGCCCUUGGUGAGAUCAAAGCACGCCAUGCUGUAGACAGGAAUGGCUUGUGCCACAGAACGGUGGUGUUUUGACCGUGCAGCGCUUUGACCGGCAGCAGUGUGGGGGGUGGGGCUUAUGAUUUGCAUGCUCUGCGCUCCUGAUGCGCUCUGCCUGACGGGCCUGCUGCUGCAUUGGCCGGUGUCGCCCUGCCACUCCCACCCUCUCCCGCUCUGCCACGCGAAUUAUUGCAGCUGUGGCUUCUGUCUCUCUCUCUCGAGAUCGGCUUGCUUUGGGCCGGCCGCAUUUAUACAGGCUCGCGGCAUCGACCGGUCCAUCUCCGACCGACGCGCCACUAGCUUGCUAGCCGUCCAUAACUCGUCCGUAGAGGAGAGGAUAGGAGAUCCCUGGCACUUGCUACAAAGUUGACAAGCUCAACUCCAUCUCUUCCUCAUUCUCAUCCUGAGAUGAGAUUUUUCUUUUUGAAACACUCUCAUCCUGAGAUGAGGUAAACAGGGCGGCUCUGCUGCAUCCAGCGUGCAUGCAGCCGGCUGGGCUAGCCAUGCAUGCAUGUAGGGGCCCGGGCCAUGGGCUUGCGUCAAUCCAUCCAACCAUCCAUCGACGAGCCACCCACCACUGUUACGGACCUCAUUCAACGUACUGCCGCCACUGUUACGCCUGCGCUUUGGAAGCAUGACGCGCUGUUUCGGCCCUUGUCCGAUCCACCUAGUGUGCUAGUGCCAUCCGGCGAGCCUGAGCAUGAACAAACGGAAACGGACUCCUCCCCUGCCGCUGCCAGCAACUGCAAAGGUGGUGGCAUAGUGCGUGCGUGGAGAGUCGUGCCCCGCCCGGUUUUACAGCCUUGCAUGCGCCGGCCGGAUCCACUGCGUGCCUUUUCCCGACGGUGCGGUGAGUGGAGCUCUCCCUCCCUCCCUCCCUCGCUAGCAUCCAAUGCCAGGCUCACUUGUACUCGCACGUGUAGGGCCUAUCGACACACACACACACAUAGCCUCCCUCUAGCUAGCCUCUAGGCACCGCACCAGAUGUACGUUGCCUGCGCUGUGUGGCAUACGAGGCUAAAUUUCGUGUUUUGACUCUUUUGAAGAAGUUGUCCCAGAUCUGACACUAUUUUGUAAAAAUUUCGGAAUCUGACAUUUUUUCUACCGUUAGGAGGCAUGGAAAUAGGGUAUAACAGCCUACCACCAAAGGAUAUGGUGGUAAGAAACUUGACCACGUCAGUGCAACGCAUCCCUACCGUCACAGAGGAUGACGGUAGCAUGUGCAACCCUACUGUCAAGGUACCCGACGGUAGGUGCACACGUGCACUGUGUUUGAAAUUUAGAAUUAUUUUGCGGUAGGGCGUGUAGAAAAAGGGUUAGAUCUCAAUUUUUUUUUGUAAACGAGGGUUAGACCUCGAACAACUUCUUUGAAAAGGUCAAAACACGAAAUUUUGCCGGCAUACGAUACGAUGGCAAUGCCAUCACUUCUAUAGCAUGGCAUGCACUCUUGGACACGCGCAUACGGUUCACAAAUCCUGCCAUGCAUGCAUACGAUGAGCAAGCCGGCCGGGCAGGAGGUGACAUGCAUUCAUGGCCAAGUGCGUCGUUGACACGGGCGGCGGACGUGUACCGUGCACCUAUCAUACGGGCGGCCUGCUGGACUCAUUUUCUUUUUUCUAAUGAGAAGGAGUGAUCACCGGAGUUGGGGCAAGCUUGGAGGGAGGGGCAUUUUGGGUAGGGGAGCGAUGGAAUCGAAUCGAAUGGCAUCUCUCUCUGGCAACCGUCUGCGGAUCUCCGGUCAAGGGGGCUUUGACUAUACGGCCCUGAGCGCCGUGACAGCCAGCCCAGCUGAGCCUGUCAGCGACCUUUUCUGUUCCGCUCUAUUCUGACAGCGUAAAAGGACGGAGGCGCCCAUACGCGCGUUGGCCACUACCGCCGCCCAGCGUCCCUCCAUCCGCACAGAUGCCCGACGCCGUGAUGUACCCCGUACAAACGUCAUGCACCACUACUGUUCCUAGUAAUUUCUUUAGGAUGCGACAUUCAUCAUUUGCUGGCAGUCCAACAUGCAUGAAAAACGAUCUCGCCGGAGGAGAAGGGGUGGCAAUGAUUUACAGCGUUUUUUUUUUUCAACGUUGAGGCUGUGAAAUCGUUUUCUUUGAAGGGAGGUUGCGGAAUACUUCCUCUCUAAAGAAAUAUAAGAGCGUUUAUAUCACUAUUUUAUAACGAUCUAAAUACUCUCAUAUUUCCUAACGGAGGGAGUGGUUUAGUUAACAGCUACUUAUUAUUUUCAGGAGCAGACACCCGAUCUGAUAAUGAGCCAAGGUUGCUAGCGUGGGAUCGAUCCUCCAAAGGAGUAGUAAUAAGAAGGGUACGUGAACAGUGGUAAUGAUUGAGUGUGGGCUGGGUUGAUGCGUAUAGUACCAGGUAAUCAAAGCGGUUUGCUGAAUCUAGCAAAGCAUGCAUGCUUCCCGCACCGUCUAUCUUAACGAACCGCGGUCCACAUGCCGGCCCCUUCCUCCCCACAGUGCAUGCUUUGUCUUGAACAGUAAAAACAAGCCACAAAGCCGAGAUUACUGGCAGUAAUCUUCUACUUACUCCAGUAUUUCCAGCAUUAUUGCAUCGUGUCUCCCUCGUCGCUGCCUGGCUGAUUGAACAGUCGCGCUCACCUCAGCCCGGCGGCAACCACAGUCCACAGGGCCAACCAGAGCAGCGAGACGGGUGGCCAAAGAAUUAUGACGGAAUUGCCCCUAUACGGUCCGUCUUGGGUGAGCGGAAGCGGACAAAACAGGGGCCCGGUCCAGGCAGCCACGCUACGUCCAGUACGUACCCACAUUGAUGCAUCGCACAGGAUCUCCCGCGCCGCACCCACAACCGGACGAGCGAGGGCAAUCUCGCCAGCCGUCACAGGCGCCCGGCCGUAGCGCACGUACGUGCCACCGUCCUGUACUGGCGGGACGUACAGACGUCCCGUCGCUUUUUUCACUGCGAGGGGGAACGGCACGAAAAGGGCGUCAAGUACGUCGGCGAGAUGCUGGAAAACGAUCUAUAGCGUGCAGUACGUAUGUACGUAUACGUUAGUUAUUGCCGUAUAUCAUUGGGUUCAUGCCGCCAAUUGGCGCCUUUUCAGAUAAUACUAGAAACGACGGGGCCCCCUCUCUCCAAUCCUAGCCUACCACGAGUUAAGUCGUACGGGGCGGGUUUGGCUACCAAAACCCUAGCCGCAAGAGAUAGCCAACUUUCCGACGCCGUUUUCCGGCAGCUCUACUCCGCCGGCGACCUCUUGGUCGUUGAUCGUGAGGGGGAUCACCGGAUCCCACGCGUGCAGUGUUGGAAUUCGUUGGCCUAAAGCCUAACUAAAAAUCUGAAAUUCUCAUGGCCCAUUCAUACAUGGCUGUGAGUGGUGUGAGUGAGGCUAAACCCUGAAAGUUAAGUGCGAGUUGCAUCUCUUUUAAAAGUGAGCUUUUCUACCAUUUGUAUGAGUAUGAGAAAAGGAGACCUAUACUCGCGCUCCUCAUCCUCGCUCACCACGUUGGGUCGGGUCGGGUCGCGUUAAUUACCGAACCGUUUUCGAUUCUUUUGGAUCGCGACUCGGACGUACCCCACGACCUACCCGGCCCGCACUAUAUAGUCCGGCAGACAUCUCCGUCAACGACAUGGGCGACAGCAGGCCUCCGAAACCUCACCUCUCGUGAUCCUGUACGGCAGAGGGGCGAUCAGGUUUUUGGAAGCGCGUCCGACCUCGGCAACCUCUUCCUCAACGACAUGGGCGACAACAUCAACGCCAACGGUGCUACUCUCGUUGCAUCGUAUGUGACUAUGUCUUUCUUGUUCGAGAUCGUGGUAGAGUUCAUGUUUCUAGUCUGUGCCCUAGAUCCGAUUUGUUCAUCUACUAUGCUUGUCCGCAUGAUUAGUUCAAUCUCUGUUAUUGUUUUGAUGAUUUAUUUUGUGCUUAUUCGGAUUAAAUCUCGUAGUAAUUUGCUCAUAUAUUCAACAUGCAGAUCAUUUUUGCUUUAAGUUUAAGGCCCUAGUAGUUUAGGUUUUCGGAUCGUCCGACGUCUUGGCUUUGGUGAUGGUGACGGCGAUGUUGAAUAAAGAAGCUCUGAGUUCUUUGUCUGGCGAGGCGAUCGUCUCUAUGGUUGAUGAUGGAUUUGGGAACCAGUUUGUACAAGCGGGGAUAUCGUGACGGCGAUGACAUCCUUGUGGUGGACUUGUGUCCUCGGGCUCCGCCGUUGCGACGCGUCUGCCCCAGCAUCGGCGCAGAGCUUGGGAGGUAGUCCGGGAGCGGAUGCAGAUUGUGGUCUGCAUCGACGACAUCUGAAAGACGGAACGUCUACUGGAUUCGUGGUUGAUGGAUGGCAGGUAUGGUUUCCUACUUCGGCGUCUUAGUCGAGGUGGGGUGUCAGAUUUGAAGUUCGAUGGCGUGUUCGGGGUGUUGCUCCGGUCUGACUCGUUCAACGACAAUGGUUUCAUCUUUGGUGAGCCACCUUGGAGGUCUGCAAAGCUGCAUAUCAUCGAUGGAGCCGCGUCGAGCUUGGGUGAGAAGGUGAUCUGUUAUUUUUCUUUCUUCGGUGGCUGUUGUGGUGGUGCCAGAGGCAAGUAACAGACGUAGAUGUUAAGCUCAGCGAUAUUCUGCUAUCUUUUCAGUUUUAUCAAGUCGGUAUUUACCUGACUUCUAUUUUGAUCUUUAUAAUAUGAAUAAGACAUGUAUUAUCAUGAAAAAAAGAUAGAAACGACAGGGGGCUCGUUAUUACUUCGAAAAAGAAUUAUUAGCGUCCUACUAUCACCAAGUUAAUCCACGAAACUAGACUAGCUAGAAAUGCAUGGAGCAUGCACGCCCAUGUGUCUACCGCCGGCCGGCGUCGGCGUGCCCGCGUGUGGGGCUCCGGCCGGGCCGGACUAGACGACCACGGCAGCGCGUUCAAUUGGAUCGCUCCGGCCCCCGCGUGCAUGCAUCCAACCAGACUACUUAAAACUUCCGGCACCGCGACGCAUGCAUGGGGUCAGCAGUCGGGUCGGGUCGGCGGUCGGUCGCUGCAUGGCCCCGAGCCGCCGAUGCACGCCGAGGGGACCGAACACGCAGAGCCCACCGGCCGCAUUCCAUGCUACAAUCGCGUGGCAUAUAUAUAGAGCGUACCGACACGACAAGACUAGCAAUCCACAAACAUUAUUGAUCGUACUAAUACUUUUUAGUACGCACGUACCUUUGUUCCCACGUCGUCCCGCUGUUUCCAUCUAUCCAUGCAUGCACGUACACGCCUGCUUUCGGAGUCCAUCCGUUGCUGAUUUUCAUCGCUCCUUGAGCCCUCAGGUCCUUCCCCUUGUUACAAUGUUAGAUAGUUUGUCCAGUGCGAAAAAAAUGUUUCUGUCGACUACGAGACGUCUAUGAUAACUUUGUCGAUGUUAAGAUGUGCGGCUCAAUAUCUCGAAGGUGUGUGUGUGUGUGCGCGCGUGCAUGCAUUCAUACCAGUGAGUGUAUGUAUGUAUGUGAGCAUUUGUACUGUAUUAAAAAAAUGAUAGCCCAUCGUAUCGAUAGGGUGAAAUGUUUGUCAACAUUGUGAGAAGAGUCCGCAAACAAGUAAGCACAUACUCAAGUCUAGCAUAUUUACAAAGUUUCAUGAAAAACACACUUUUCCGUGACUCGGCCAAAAAAAAUAUCAAUUCUACAAAAUACAACAAACUUGUAUUUUGUUCUAUAGUGUAUGCACAUAUGAACAUCUUUAAAUGCAAGCUUAUAAGAACAUGGGACUUGACUAGUUUUAACUUUCACAGGGAAAGUAGUUCUUCUUUCAACCAAGUACGUGUUCCGAGUGCCCUGUGUGCAUCGUGAAUUACCGCCUUCCUCUUUCUCUCUAAACAUCUAAAUCCUCCUCUUCAUUGGCUCUCACACUUCUUUUCGAUGACUCUCUUCCUCAUUCCAUCGCCGUCAAUGCCAAGUCAAGAUCCAACUACACACCCGGCCAAACUUACUUUUAAGCCUAAAGGUGAUAACUACUCAUUGGCUCCCUUGCAAAAAAAAAAACAC
rnacentral:lncRNA from 1 species